rnacentral:lncRNA from 1 species
GUAAAUUCGUCUUGGAUCUUGUGAUAUCUUGAAAACCCUAACUGUAGCUUCAAACCCUAGCUUUUUUACACCCGUGUACAACUUCCUUCAUAUCUCACAAAGUAAUUAUUCAAAUACUAUGAAACUUUGAUCUAAAGCUUCUUAACCCAAUUACACACACUUGUGGAAUUUUUGAGCCAAAAAUUCGUCCAGAAACUCAAGAUAUGGCUUCACCCACAACUAGCAACAAAACGAUAUACUUACUGCCUUCAAAUUACAAGUGCUGUCUUCAACGCCUCAUAACUCCUUCACCCAAUCUUAGAAUUCACUAUACAAUAAAUAGAAUGUGUAGCCGAAAAAAUGCUCCCUCCAAAUCCAGUCGCCGAUCUUCCGUUGCUCUCCGUAUUCGUAUGUGAUGCCCAAAAGUAGUGACAGUAGGUACGAAAUUGACACCUUAUCUUUGAACAUUCAUAUCUUUUCCAUAAAAACUCGAAAUCACACAAAAUCUUCACCCAAAUUAUACCCAAAACCCUAAACCUUCUGACCCUAGCCUCAAAAGCUCGAAUGGCCUCGAAAAAAGAACCCUAAUUCCUAAUAUGGCCUCGGGCAGCCUCCUCAAAGCCCAUUGGGCAUGGUAUUCGACCAAUAGGGAUGAAGUUCUUCACCCCUUGC